CCUACGGGAGGCAGCAGUGAGGAAUAUUGGUCAAUGGACGCAAGUCUGAACCAGCCAUGCCGCGUGCAGGAAUACGGCUCUAUGAGUUGUAAACUGCUUUUGUACGAGGGUAAACUCAGAUACGCGUAUCUUUCUGCACGUAUCGUCCGAAUAAGGAUCGGCUAACUCCGUGCCAGCAGCCGCGGUAAUCCGGAGGAUUCAAGCGUUAUCCGGAUUUAUUGGGUUUAACGGGUGCGUAGGCGGUCGGAUAAGUUAGAGGUGAAAUCCCGAGGCUCAACUUCGGAAUUGCCUCUGAUCCUGUUCGGCUAGAGAGUAGUUGCGGUAGGCGGAAUGUAUGGUGUAGCGGUGAAAUGCUUAGAGAUCAUACAGAACACCGAUUGCGAAGGCAGCUUACCAAGCUACGUCUGACGUUGAGGCACGAAAGCGUGGGGAGCAAACAGGAUUAGGUACCCCAGUAGUC
rnacentral:rRNA from 1 species